rnacentral:rRNA from 1 species
GCGCAAUGGGCGAAAGCCUGACGCAGCAACGCCGCGUGGGGGAUGACGGCCUUCGGGUUGUAAACCUCUUUCGACAGGGACGAAGCUUUCGGGUGACGGUACCUGUAGAAGAAGCACCGGCUAACUACGUGCCAGCAGCCGCGGUAAUACGUAGAGUGCGAGCGUUGUCCGGAUUUAUUGGGCGUAAAGAGCUCGUAGGCGGUUUGUCACGUCGGCCGUGAAAACCUGCAGCUUAACUGUGGGCGUGCGGUCGAUACGGGCAGACUUGAGUUCGGCAGGGGAGACUGGAAUUCCUGGUGUAGCGGUGAAAUGCGCAGAUAUCAGGAGGAACACCGGUGGCGAAGGCGGGUCUCUGGGCCGAUACUGACGCUGAGGAGCGAAAGCAUGGGGAGCGAACAGGAUUAGAUACCCUGGUAGUCCAUGCCGUAAACGUUGGGCGCUAGGUGUGGGGAUGGGUUCCACCGUUUCCGUGCCGUAGCUAACGCAUUAAGCGCCCCGCCUGGGGAGUACGGCCGCAAGGCU